UGUGAGCUCGAUGAGUAGGGCGGGACACGUGGUAUCCUGUCUGAAUAUGGGGGGACCAUCCUCCAAGGCUAAAUACUCCUGACUGACCGAUAGUGAACCAGUACCGUGAGGGAAAGGCGAAAAGAACCCCGGCGAGGGGAGUGAAAAAGAACCUGAAACCGUGUACGUACAAGCAGUGGGAGCACGCUUAGGCGUGUGACUGCGUACCUUUUGUAUAAUGGGUCAGCGACUUAUAUUCUGUAGCAAGGUUAACCGAAUAGGGGAGCCGAAGGGAAACCGAGUCUUAACUGGGCGUUAAGUUGCAGGGUAUAGACCCGAAACCCGGUGAUCUAGCCAUGGGCAGGUUGAAGGUUGGGUAACACUAACUGGAGGACCGAACCGACUAAUGUUGAAAAAUUAGCGGAUGACUUGUGGCUGGGGGUGAAAGGCCAAUCAAACCGGGAGAUAGCUGGUUCUCCCCGAAAGCUAUUUAGGUAGCGCCUCGUGAAUUCAUCUCCGGGGGUAGAGCACUGUUUCGGCAAGGGGGUCAUCCCGACUUACCAACCCGAUGCAAACUGCGAAUACCGGAGAAUGUUAUCACGGGAGACACACGGCGGGUGCUAACGUCCGUCGUGAAGAGGGAAACAACCCAGACCGCCAGCUAAGGUCCCAAAGUCAUGGUUAAGUGGGAAACGAUGUGGGAAGGCCCAGACAGCCAGGAUGUUGGCUUAGAAGCAGCCAUCAUUUAAAGAAAGCGUAAUAGCUCACUGGUCGAGUCGGCCUGCGCGGAAGAUGUAACGGGGCUAAACCAUGCACCGAAGCUGCGGCAGCGACACUAUGUGUUGUUGGGUAGGGGAGCGUUCUGUAAGCCUGUGAAGGUGUGCUGUGAGGCAUGCUGGAGGUAUCAGAAGUGCGAAUGCUGACAUAAGUAACGAUAAAGCGGGUGAAAAGCCCGCUCGCCGGAAGACCAAGGGUUCCUGUCCAACGUUAAUCGGGGCAGGGUGAGUCGACCCCUAAGGCGAGGCCGAAAGGCGUAGUCGAUGGGAAACAGGUUAAUAUUCCUGUACUUGGUGUUACUGCGAAGGGGGGACGGAGAAGGCUAUGUUGGCCGGGCGACGGUUGUCCCGGUUUAAGCGUGUAGGCUGGUUUUCCAGGCAAAUCCGGAAAAUCAAGGCUGAGGCGUGAUGACGAGGCACUACGGUGCUGAAGCAACAAAUGCCCUGCUUCCAGGAAAAGCCUCUAAGCAUCAGGUAACAUCAAAUCGUACCCCAAACCGACACAGGUGGUCAGGUAGAGAAUACCAAGGCGCUUGAGAGAACUCGGGUGAAGGAACUAGGCAAAAUGGUGCCGUAACUUCGGGAGAAGGCACGCUGAUAUGUAGGUGA
rnacentral:rRNA from 1 species